rnacentral:rRNA from 1 species
CCCUUAGAUGUUCUGGGCCGCACGCGCGCUACACUGACGAAUGCAACGAGCUUAUAACCUUGGCCGAAAGGUCUGGGUAAUCUCCAAAUUUCGUCGUGAUGGGGAUAGAUUAUUGAAAUUAUUAAUCUUGAACGAGGAAUUCCUAGUAAACGCAGAUCAUCAAUCUGCAUUGAUUACGUCCCUGCCCUUUGUACACACCGCCCGUCGCACCUACCGAUUGGAUGGUCCGGUGAAGCCUCGGGAUUGUGGUUCUUGCCGCUUUAUUGUGGCGUGACCGCGAGAACUUGUCUAAACCUUAUCAUCUAGAGGAAGGUGAAGUCGUAACA